CAUCUAGGCGGUCAAUCAAGUCGAAGGUGAAAACUUGUGGCUCAACCAUAAGCUUGCCUACGAAACUGAUUAACUAGAGUACUGGAGAUGUGGACGGAACUACACGAGUAGAGGUGAAAUUCGUAGAUAUGUGUAGGAAUGCCGAUGAUGAAGAUAGUUCACUGGACAGAAACUGACGCUGAAGUGCGAAAGCUAGGGGAGCAAACA
rnacentral:rRNA from 1 species